rnacentral:rRNA from 1 species
AGAGUUUGAUCCUGGCUCAGGACGAACGCUGGCGGCGUGCUUAACACAUGCAAGUCGAGCGGUAAGGCCUUUCGGGGUACACGAGCGGCGAACGGGUGAGUAACACGUGGGUGAUCUGCCCUGCACUCUGGGAUAAGCUUGGGAAACUGGGUCUAAUACCGGAUAUGACCGCAUGCCGCAUGGUGUGUGGUGGAAAGAUUUAUCGGUGCAGGAUGGGCCCGCGGCCUAUCAGCUUGUUGGUGGGGUAAUGGCCUACCAAGGCGACGACGGGUAGCCGACCUGAGAGGGUGACCGGCCACACUGGGACUGAGACACGGCCCAGACUCCUACGGGAGGCAGCAGUGGGGAAUAUUGCACAAUGGGCGGAAGCCUGAUGCAGCGACGCCGCGUGAGGGAUGAAGGCCUUCGGGUUGUAAACCUCUUUCAGCAGGGACGAAGCGUGAGUGACGGUACCUGCAGAAGAAGCACCGGCUAACUACGUGCCAGCAGCCGCGGUAAUACGUAGGGUGCGAGCGUUGUCCGGAAUUACUGGGCGUAAAGAGUUCGUAGGCGGUUUGUCGCGUCGUUUGUGAAAACCCGGGGCUCAACUUCGGGCUUGCAGGCGAUACGGGCAGACUUGAGUGUUUCAGGGGAGACUGGAAUUCCUGGUGUAGCGGUGAAAUGCGCAGAUAUCAGGAGGAAACACCGGUGGCGAAAGGCGGGUCUCUGGGAAACAACUGACGCUGAGGAACGAAAAGCGUGGGUAGCAAACAGGAUUAGAUACCCUGGUAGUCCACGCCGUAAACGGUGGGCGCUAGGUGUGGGUUCCUUCCACGGGAUCUGUGCCGUAGCUAACGCAUUAAGCGCCCCGCCUGGGGAGUACGGCCGCAAGGCUAAAACUCAAAGGAAUUGACGGGGGCCCGCACAAGCGGCGGAGCAUGUGGAUUAAUUCGAUGCAACGCGAAGAACCUUACCUGGGUUUGACAUACACCGGAAAACCGUAGAGAUACGGUCCCCCCUGUGGUCGGUGUACAGGUGGUGCAUGGCUGUCGCCAGCUCGUGUCGUGAGAUGUUGGGUUAAGUCCCGCAACGAGCGCAACCCUUGUCUUAUGUUGCCAGCGCGUUAUGGCGGGGACUCGUAAGAGACUGCCGGGGUCAACUCGGAGGAAGGUGGGGACGACGUCAAGUCAUCAUGCCCCUUAUGUCCAGGGCUUCACACAUGCUACAAUGGCCAGUACAGAGGGCUGCGAGACCGUGAGGUGGAGCGAAUCCCUUAAAGCUGGUCUCAGUUCGGAUCGGGGUCUGCAACUCGACCCCGUGAAGUCGGAGUCGCUAGUAAUCGCAGAUCAGCAACGCUGCGGUGAGUACGUUCCCGGGCCUUGUACACACCGCCCGUCACGUCAUGAAAGUCGGUAACACCCGAAGCCGGUGGCCUAACCCCUUGUGGGAGGGAGCCGUCGAAGGUGGGAUCGGCGAUUGGGACGAAGUCGUAACAAGGUAACC